UCCAAUGGCCGUCGGUCAGCAAGCCGUUCAGGUGCCACUUCUGUCCUUAUUCUUGCAUCAGGAAGGACUACCUCAUUCAGCAUGAAAGGACACAUACGGGAGAGAAGCCCUUCAAGUGCACAUUGUGUCCUUAUGCCGGAAAACAGAGCUCACACUUGGAAAAGCACAUGCGCACACACAAGAUAUGCUCUGACCAAGGAUACUGAUCGAGACAUAUCAUGAACCACUGUUAGCAACUGCAAAGAAAAAGAUAUGCCACCAAGACUUGAACGUUUCUUCGGCCGUUUCAUGCGAUAUGAUUACGACUUGAACUUGAGGCAAGCAGUUGCUGAUCCAGGGCGCGAAAAAAUCUGUCAAGGCGGAAGACGAUGAUGUGGACGCAGUGGACGCGCUCGUGUGGAAGAAAAUUUUACGGCCGUUCGCCAUUUCCGCCAUUUUUUUUUUUUUUUUUUUGGAAGGCAGAAACUGCAUUGUCUGGUCUGAUCACAAGCCUCUUGUUUCCGCUUUCACUUCGGCCAACCCGAAUUACACUCCAAGGGAUAUCCGCCAUUUAGCUUUCCUCGCGGAGUUUUCGACUGACAUCCGUACCUGCGCGACGUCGUGGGACCACUACCUACCUCCGAGGGCGAUCACUACCUCCUUACCCUCGUCGACAGGUACACGCGUUGACCCGAGGCAACCCAAGAUUGCACCGCUCAAACGGUGGCAACAAGUUUUAUCGAGAUAUGGGUCUCCCGUUUCGGAGUGCCAGCCGAACUUGUAACGGAUCAGAGAUCGAAAGUGCCCUUUUCACUGCUUUCACGCGACUCCUCGGCACCUCUCGUCUCAGGACACCGGCCUCCUUAUCAUCCAGCCUCCAACGGAUUAGAGGAACGAUUCCUCCGGCACCUAAAGCCGGCAUAACUGGAAGCAGCAGUUGAUGCCACUCGUCCUACUUGGAACUCGAGUGGCAGCUAAGUCAGAACUUGCUUGCUGUUCAGCAGAGCUCGUCUGCGGGACAACUCUCCGACUUCCAGCCCUGUCCCCUGACUGCCUCGCUCCAGUUCACGGCAAGCCGCCUCUAUACCACCUUUCGUGCCCGCAGAGCUUCACUCCGCUUCUCACGUUUUUCUACGUACCGACUGGCCACGCAAGUCCUUUGAACCAACAUAUUUCGGUCCCUAUCAAGUUUUGCGGCGCCUCAGGAAGACAUUUAUAAUUGUCAUCCUUUGCCGCCCAGAGUCAGUCUCCAUUGACCGGCCUUUCUCGAUAACCCCUCCGCACCACCACAGUUUAUCCCACUCCCGACUAUACCAGUAACUCGGCACAGAACUGUUACCUGGGCCCUGCCACCCAAUCGUACCGCGGGUUCUACAGCUUGCAAGCCUCCUUCAAACGUGGUGCGUCCGAAGACUACGUUGACAGCUAGUUGACGCCAACCGCUAGUGCGCGGUGGCGCGUGAAUUAAACCAUUCAGUUUUCGUUCCUCUGCCGCGUGAGUCGUGUCGUCCUUCUAUAGCGGUAGGCUACAGUAGCACUGGAAUUCCAGCUAAACCCUUAGCGGACAAAAGGUUGCGGGGAGACGACGAGAGAUAAAAAUAGUGAUCCAUAAGUUGUUGGCCUAGCAGGCGUAUCUCAUUGGCAUUAGAAUUCGCCUUCCAGAAGGUGUAGUCAUUGGAUGGGGAAUACCACCGAUUCGGUUCUUCCUGUACGUGACAGUGAUGUCCAAGUGCUGUAGCGGCAUCAUUCAUGUCUGCUGUCCGGUUGGGAGGCACCGAAAUGUCCGUGGCGUUCGCAAGCACAUUCUUGUCUUGCGGAUUGUUGACAUCACCCGGGUCAGGGCUCUCCAUCCGUGGUCGAUGGGCGGUGACCUGUAGGGAGAGCUAGACAGACAUCGGACCCCCCGUCCAUAUUACGGCGGGAGGUCCGUGAAACAUUAGAUUCUUUCUUUCAAAAAUCUGAUGGCACUAAAUAAUACCGAGCCUACAUUUUGAGUCUAUCGCGGAGGGAAGGACAUGCCCAGUUGCGAAAUUCAUGUUCUCGAAAUAAGGAGAUUGCAUAAUAAGAUGAUAUGCCGUGUUUAAAAGCACGGCAUCACUAUUUAACCAAGUUGACGGGCUUUCAGUGUUUGUAAAAGUCGUCUUCGAGAACGAAGGCCACAUUAUUGCAGUCGUUAGGUUGAGCAGGGCGGACAGGACGGAGCAGCAUGUUGGUUAAUUGAUCAUUCAGUUAGUCCAAGUGCGGUGUUUGCAUUGAUAUGCCCAGGUUAGGCCCAAAAUAGCUCAGUUUCAGCUCUCAAUAUAUUACUGCGCCGCAUAUAGGACGAGAGGUCACGCCCCCUCCCUGCGCCAGAUAAUGUAAUCCAUCAUAGUCACUCUGCUUCCGUAUUGGCCGUGACAUCGGCAUGACACAUCGGCUGACAGGAAUUUCCUGGGUUUUCCUCAGUCGCUUUCAGACAUAUGUCGGCACAGUUCCCCUAGAAGUCGGCCCAGGACGCACAUUUCCCCAGGGCGUCAGUCGUGACGUUGCCCACUUACGUGAGGCCGACAACGGCAAGCCCUUUCACCAUCACCACCACCACCAGGAAUUCUUACCGUCUUCCAAACUUGAUAUCUGUAAGAGCUCCCGUGACUGAGUGGUUAGCGUGCUUGCCAUGUCACGUCGAGACUGAGAGGUGCCCGGGUUCCAAUCCCGGUGCCGAUCGAGCUAUUUGAGGUUUUUCCUAGGUUUUCCUGAGACUCUUUCAGACAUAUGUCGGCCCCUUAGACCCGUCACGUUGCCCACCACGGCGAUCGAACCCUUUCACCACCACUGUCCUAAACCUUCAUCAAGUCUCGUCUGUUCAAUAAACAGAAGGUGCAUCUCC